rnacentral:tRNA from 1 species
AUCGGGUGCUUAAAGGAAAUAGAAUAAGAAGCAUAGAGGUUCAAAUCCUCUUCGAGACA